rnacentral:rRNA from 1 species
UGCGUAGGCGGACUAAUAAGUCAGUGGUGAAAUCCUGCAGCUCAACUGUAGAACUGCCAUUGAUACUGUUAGUCUUGAAUUUAGUUGAGGUAGGCGGAAUGUAUUGUGUAGCGGUGAAAUGCAUAGAUAUAAUACAGAACACCGAUUGCGAAGGCAGCUUACUAAGCUAUAAUUGACGCUGAUGCACGAAAGCGUGGGGAGCGAACAGGAUUAGAUACCCUGGUAGUCC